rnacentral:rRNA from 1 species
UAGAAUUGACGGGACCGCACAAGCGGUGGAUGAUGUGGUUAAUUCGAUGCAACGCGAAAACCUUACCACCUUUGACAUGUACGGAAUCCUUUAGAGAUAGAGGAGUGCUCGAAAGAGAGCCGUAACACAGGUGCUGCAUGGCUGUCGUCAGCUCGUGUCGUGAGAUGUUGGGUUAAGUCCCGCAACGAGCGCAACCCUUGUCAUUAGUUGCUACAUUCAGUUGGGCACUCUAAUGAGACUGCCGGUGACAAACCGGAGGAAGGUGGGGAUGACGUCAAGUCCUCAUGGCCCUUAUAGGUGGGGCUACACACGUCAUACAAUGGAUGGUACAAAGGGUCGCCAACCCGCGAGGGGGAGCCAAUCCCAUAAAGCCAUUCGUAGUCCGGAUCGCAGUCUGCAACUCGACUGCGUGAAGUCGGAAUCGCUAGUAAUCGUGGAUCAGAAUGUCACGGUGAAUACGUUCCCGGGUCUU